CCAUCAUAACAGUUUGUUCUUCUAGGUGUGUCCUCAGCUGAUGCUCAAGACAAACAGAGUCAGAAGAGGGAAGCGUGGAGAGAUGAAAUAUGAUGACUUCCAUAAAGAGUCUGCGUCACCUGGAAGAUCACAGCCGCAGAGAUAAGGAAAGAAGAGUCGUUUCGUUGUCUGAAGAGGUCACUUCCUGGUUCGUAUGGAGAAGCCAUUUUCAAUGGACCCCCACAAUAGAAGCACAGAGCUGUAUUGAGGCAGCAUGAGAUAAACGGUUGCAUUUUUCAUCAUCCUAUUACUGCGACUCUAGACGGGCGAGUGCCUCCCCUGACUUCCCCUGCGCGCGUUUGAUUUACAAUCCUGUAUGGAAAAAGCGGAAGACAAAUGUUGACAAGAUGAUAAACAGGCUGAAAUAAUAUAAUUUGUUCCACGUCAUUUGCACGAUGUGUCAGCAUACAGAUCAUUCCCGAAAUUACCCUGGGCAAAUCUUUUAAACGAUUGCUGCUGGAUCGUUGAUGGAGUUGC